UUCAGAAACUGUAGUCACUCUGGUUGAAAUUGAAGGUUCUCACAGUAAAACUUGUUGAAUUGAGUAAUGGAAGGGAAUGCGAAAAGCGACCAAAUCGUGGAUGUAGGAUCGGUAGUGGAGGCCGUUUCAGUCGAUGACGGUGAUGCUCCUCUCUACAGCCUCGAAAGUCUUUGCAUGCGAUGUGGUGAAAACGUAAGCUUCUCCCCAUUCUCCGCCACCUUUUCCUUUUCCUUUGGCUUUUCAAUGAAUUCACUUUCUACUUUUUCGCGCACCUUUUGCGUGGUUAACUCAGGGAUUAAAUUCUCCAUUCUUUUACUCUCACUAGUGCAGAAAUGUAAAACAACGACCCUUUAUUUAGUGCGGCUUUGCGUUUAAACGCAUUUGUAAAAAACGCGGUGGCAUUUUUGUAAUUAAAUUGAUUUACAAAUGCGGUUCUAGGGUAAGACCGCAUUUGUAAAUCAAUUAAAAUGAAUUACAACUGCUUUGCAUUGUAAGUUUCAGCUCUCUCUGCUUCAACGUUUGUUUUCGUUUUCGUUUUUGUCAUUGUCAUUAUUCACUUCCUUGGCAUUGUCAUUUCGUUUUCUGCAUAUAGGUGGUUACUGUUCUAUU
rnacentral:lncRNA from 1 species